CACUGGAUAUCAUAAGGUGAAUGCACCAAUUUGUAAGUCGCUCUGGAUAAUAGCGUCUGCUAAAUGACAUAAAUGUAAAUGUAAAACCCUUUGUAGUGAGGUCUUUGUUGUCUGUUGCGGUAAAACCCUUUGUAGUGAGGUCUUUGUCUGUUGCUGUAAAACCCUUUGUAGUGAGGUCUGUGUUGUCUGUUGCUGUAAAACCCUUUGUAGUGGGGUCUGUGUUGUCUGUUGCUGUAAAACCCUUUGUAGUGAGGUCUUUGUCUGUUGCUGUAAAACCCUUUGUAGUGGGGUCUGUGUUGUCUGUUGCUGUAAAACCCUUUGUAGUGAGGUCUUUGUUGUUGUCUGUUGCUGUAAAACCCUUUGUAGUGAGGUCUGUUGCUGUAAAACCCGUUGUAGUGAGGUCUGUUGCUGUAAAACCCUUUGUAGUGGGGUCUUUGUCUGUUGCUGUAAAACUCUUUGUCUGUUGCUGUAAAACCCUUUGUCUGUUGCUGUAAAACUCUUUGUCUGUUGCUGUAAAACUCUUUGUCUGUUGCUGUAAAACCCUUUGUAUUGAGGCCUCAACAGUUGAUGGUUCAGGUUGACUCAAAAACGUUUAUGCUGGUAUGUCUGUUUCCAGUUCCAUUUUUUCCAUCUAACGUUCAGUCGAGCUUAGUGUUGAGCCUCUCC
rnacentral:lncRNA from 1 species